UUCCAUAAUUUCACCAUGUAGUAUACACAAAAAUCACGUUAAUUUUGCUUUCAUUUCAAAAAUCAAUACUAACUUGUUGAAAUUAAAUCAUGUCCCUUAUGACACCAAAUCCAAAAAUAUCUACAUUUGAUCUAUAAACACUUUCAAUGGAAACUUUUUAUAAGCAAAAUAAACAUUUACUAUUUCCAAUUGUUGAAGAUCAUUGUGCUUGAAUGACUAAUCUUGUAACCGAUUCCUUUCUCCCUACAUCCAAAGUAUGGUUUGUUUGAACUCGAUACGCUUCCUCUCUUCUUCAUGCCUGCCAUCUUCCAUCUUUCAAAGUAAUAUAUCUUGUUGUAAGUUGAUCAAUCUUCUCACAAGCACCAGGAAAUUCCUCUUGCAAAAUGCUAAAAUCAGCCUAUCCAUCAUAUGGACUAGAGAUUCCAAGUUUGUGCAAAAUAGGACGAUGAAUACCAAGCCCAUACAAGCAACCACUCUUACAAGGACCUUGACUUGCUUUACAUAAAUCUUCAAUGUCAAUUUCAGGUAGAGAGGAAGCAUUUGAACUAUAUUUUUCAUGAAUUGCAUUGUCAUAUGUUUUCUACAAAACAACCAUAAGUCUCAAUCAAUAACUAUAUACAAUAUAUAAAUAAAAUUUAAUUUAUUUCUACUUACAUAGACAAUUCGUGAUUUAUUAUCUACAGAGUCUCCUUCUCCCUUGUUUCGCUGAUGUAUACAUUCGAAACAAUGUGAAGCAAUAGGUGGCUUACCUAAUUUCUCAUGCUGAAGACAAGCAAUUAAAUCAAUAUUUGGUUUGAAAAGAUUAUUGAUUGGCAUACACUUCAUGAAAUGAAACAUCAUCUCAUUCAUACUAGUCAAUCUCUGAUUUAAAAGAUAAUUCACUGUCAUUUUUAAUAUGAGGCUUGCAGAGGGUUUAUAAUGUAAACUGUUCUUGAUUGAAAUUGCAAGUUCUUGAUUGUAACAUAGCAAAAAAGUGUCCAUCAGAAAUCAGACCAAUGAAUUAGGGAAAAUAAAUCAAUGCUAACAAUACAAUCAGUGAAAAUUCCAUGUUAAAUGCUGAAGAAAAUUAGCGUAAC
rnacentral:lncRNA from 1 species